rnacentral:rRNA from 1 species
CUUGCUUCUCUUGAGAGCGGCGGACGGGUGAGUAAUGCCUAGGAAUCUGCCUGGUAGUGGGGGAUAACGUCCGGAAACGGACGCUAAUACCGCAUACGUCCUACGGGAGAAAGCAGGGGACCUUCGGGCCUUGCGCUAUCAGAUGAGCCUAGGUCGGAUUAGCUAGUUGGUGGGGUAAUGGCUCACCAAGGCGACGAUCCGUAACUGGUCUGAGAGGAUGAUCAGUCACACUGGAACUGAGACACGGUCCAGACUCCUACGGGAGGCAGCAGUGGGGAAUAUUGGACAAUGGGCGAAAGCCUGAUCCAGCCAUGCCGCGUGUGUGAAGAAGGUCUUCGGAUUGUAAAGCACUUUAAGUUGGGAGGAAGGGCAGUAAAUUAAUACUUUGCUGUUUUGACGUUACCGACAGAAUAAGCACCGGCUAACUCUGUGCCAGCAGCCGCGGUAAUACAGAGGGUGCAAGCGUUAAUCGGAAUUACUGGGCGUAAAGCGCGCGUAGGUGGUUCGUUAUGUUGGAUGUGAAAUCCCCGGGCUCAACCUGGGAACUGCAUUCAAAACUGACGAGCUAGAGUAUGGUAGAGGGUGGUGGAAUUUCCUGUGUAGCGGUGAAAUGCGUAGAUAUAGGAAGGAACACCAGUGGCGAAGGCGACCACCUGGACUGAUACUGACACUGAGGUGCGAAAGCGUGGGGAGCAAACAGG